AGUAUGCUGAACAUCCCACAAGACCAGAAAAGCUUUCUCCACUAUUAUUCUGUGGCUUGGAGAGUUUUUACUGCAGCUGCUUCAAAAGAUCACUUUUGAGCCCCCAGCCGUGGGGGGUCUGGGGCGUCAACCUCCGGUCACGGGCCAACCAAGGGGUGGGGGUUACCGUCAGGCAACUCCUACACACCUCGCCCUCUCUCUCGGCUGCCCCCUUGUCCGCCCGCGAGCGUGGUGGCAGGAUCGUGAGCGGGCCACUCGCCUCACCUUGCGAUCGAACAGCAUUCUGGUGCGCUCUUCCACCUGCCGCUUGUACUCGGAGAGCGUCCGCUCGCGCUCGCGCCGCUCCUUUGCCACCGACUCCUCCUGCUGCUGCAGCUCCAACUGUGGUCACCGGUCACACGAACAGCACUUUACAUGCAACUACAAGUACAACUUUAACAAAUGUUGUUAUUUACCAGGUAAAGCUCGCUGGGCGAUUAGCUCCUUUUCAUAAGUGAGCUGGGAAAUUUAUAGCAGCCAUGUAAUCGAAACACAUGUUUAUAAAUGUGGAGGGAAAAAACGGAGGGCCCGAAAAAAUAUCUAAUCGACUACAGGGAGAACAUGCAAACUCCAGAUAUACAGGAGUCAGGGUCAGGAUCGAACCCAUGAGUCCUGCAUACCAGGCGAAGAAGAUUACAUCUCUCCACCGUGGGGCCCUUACGUAGAACUCUAUGGGAGGGAGAGAAGUUAGUUAGCUGAGUGGUCAGUGAGGGAGGAUAGUGAGUUAGGUGAGGGAGGGUGGUGAGAAGGUCAGUGAUACAAUUGACAGAGGUCAGAGAGUGAUGUGAGGGAGGGGACUAUCCUGGGUUGUGUAAUUGCAGCCCUCUGAAACAUUUUUUGGUUGGUACCUCCAUUUAAUCAACUUAAAAAAUUGCUAUUUUGUUUUGGAUAUAACAUUUUGGCAAAUACCUAAUUAGAUAUUCAGUGCAAUAGUAAAAACUUGCUACUCAAUACACCAAUUUUUAUUGUUUUUUUUUCUUUCAUUUAACCCAUAUUUUUCUAUCAGGUGUCUUUUCUCGAGACGAGAAUCCAUUCAGAACACUCGCAGAGUGAUACAACCCCCAGUGUUAGUGAGGCGGACACCAAAGCACUGCUUCUAAAAUGAAUGAUCCGGUAAAACCCAGAUGUGAACCCAAUAUCUUGAUAAUAAUUUACAUUUAUUCGUAAGGCGCCUUCCACUAAUGUCUCAAGGUGCCUUGAAACAUCAGAAUCUUAGCGAUUCAGGGUUGGCGCUCUGACAUCUGAGGUAUCCGGCCACUUCCCGUUGCCACACUUCUCAUUAAAAUUCAAGAAAAUGGAUAACCUGUGAAUAUAUAUUAUACAUAUAUAUACAAACUGAUACCCUCCAAAUUAACUCACAAUUCGAUGCAAAGCUGUUGAAUCUUUAUAACUUCACUUAUAAUUGCAUUUGACAUCUAUCCUUUUGUUUAUAUAUUCAUGCAAGUCACCCUAUAUCUGUGUAAUGUUUCUGUAAGUUUAUUGUAAUUUUACUAUAAGUCUAAAAAAAUUCUGUGCGAGCCGAAUUAUGUUGCAAGGAAUUUAUUGCUUAACAUUGAUUUAUAUUUGUGAAAUUGUUUUUAAUUUUCACCGUUGUUUUUGGUCCGAUUUAUACCUGCCUCAUUUAUUAAUUUUAUUUAUUUAUUUGCUUUUUGUCAAUUUGGUGUGGCCCAUGUCACUCUUCCAAAUGAGACUUUCCCUGGUCUCUUGAGUUCUCAGCUGGUUACACAAAUAAACUUAAAACACUCUCACAAAUAUCCCCCAUUUCGCCUUAACAGCGCUGUUAGCGAGCACCUAUGAAGGCCAGAAUGGCACACGAGGGGGUGAGUGGCCAGUACCACACCCGGCCGCCUUUGUCUCCCCAGUGGUGAUGUUAACACAUUGCACCAGGUACUCAUUGGAGACCGAGUCGACCCAGUGGAGGCCCAGGACCGGUUCAGAAAAUCGUCACUGGGGUUGGCCGUGGCAGGGAAUCGAAUUCAGAUCGACGGAUUCAUAUGCACUUUUAAAUCUAGAUUUAAAACUAAUUUCUUUAGAACUGCUUUUUCUGUUUAGCUUGUUGUCCUUUCACCGCACUUCCGGUGAGCACAGUUGGCUACGUACCGCUUCCCACACUCGCACACUCUCACACGUGUGCAGCUGUCACC